rnacentral:snRNA from 1 species
AGUAUCAGAAGUGAAUGUGGUCACUUUGCCAGAACAUACUGUAUACUAAAUUUGGAAUGAUACAUAGAAGGCUAGUAUGGCUUCUGCUCAAGUAUGAUAUGCAAAAAAGUGAAGAUUGAGCUCUAUUC